GCUAAUUUGGUCUCAGUGCCCUCGUCGUUCAAUCCCAAAUCCCCUACAGAGCAGCAGUCCCAACGCUGGCGGCGGCGGCCCAGAUCCCUCCUCAAGCUGGGCGAGUUCAGAUAAUCUCCGAUGGCUGCUGGCCGUCGUGUCGCCGACGGUGCAGUUUGAGUCGGUUCGUCGCCUCCUCUCUCUCUCUCAGGCACAUCAGCUCGUGACCUCCUCCCCCUCGUUUAGCGGCAAGCCGGUGGUGAGCUCCUCAGGUCCUUCCCAACCGCCCAAUGCGACUUGGUGUAAACCUACAAAUCUUCAACACAGUUGUUCAUUUUCCUGGUAAAUAGAUGUUAACUUUGUUUGCUAUUUGUGCUGCAGCCCAAUUUUACUGUAUCAAGUAAAUUUAUGCUUUAUCUGUACAGUUCUAUUUUCAUGUACUUGUUCGUCUUAAAUCUGCUUGUGUGUGAAUGAUGCAUUUUAGUAACUUCAGUUUGUUCGUGUAUUGCUCCUGUUCUUGGUGGUUUGGUACUCUAAUUUGGAACUUUUGUUUCUCUGUUAAGUAAUCUGUAGAACCAAGUUGGAGGGUUGAGGACGGUUGGAUAAUCUUAGGGUCUUGAAGUUUAGGACAAUUCACUAAAAAGCUCAGUACCUGCAGUUCCAAGAAAGUAAACUGCGAUAGGUCGCCGAGCAACAGUAGUGCUUCCCAGUUCAAGAUAUAUGUAAAACUAGCUCUCAAAGUCGAUGGUAUCAAACUUACAAUUUGUCUUGCAGGGUUCUCUGUAUAAGCCCCAGUGUAAUAGCGUGUAAUAAUAUGCAUCUGCAGGGCAGUCAUAAAACUCCCUUUGAAUUGCUC